ensembl:lncRNA novel transcript, antisense to GALNT12
GCCUUCCCUCCCAGCAGCAAAAGCAGUCAGAGGACGAUGUUCCCUAGUCUAAUCUGCUCUUUCCUUCCUUCAUUCAUUCAAUCAAUCAUUCACGCAGCUGGCCAGCAGACACUGGAUGACCACCCCUGGGCCAGGCCUUGUGGCAAAUGCUACAGUAAUGACCAGACACAUCACACCCGCCUUCUAGAAGCCCUCCCUCACAAACCGGAUCAACUGCUAUGAUAAAGGAUUAGGCAGUGGAACAGUCCUUGUGAUCCUGAAGUUAGCAACGCCCUAGCCUCCUUCUUUCAACACCAGCUCUCACUUCUUGUCUUAGAUUGCUUUGCACCUUCCUGUCCCUUAAUUGAUGUCAGGACCUGAAUAUAUUUGAUAGUGAUUUGAAGCACUGAUGCUACAAAUGAAAGAGAUUGAUGCUGGGCCCUGGGACCAGGACAUGUGACAGAGCCAGAGUCCUUCAGGGCUGAUGGGCAUGUGCUAGGACUGACACAGGCUAGCAUCUCCCGAGAAGACGUAAGGACAAGCAACUCCAAAUGGGGAUGACAUUGAUGACUCUUCCACCUCUCCUGGUAACCUUCCCAUGCCCAUCAUGUCGUUGCACCUCUGACAGUACUAGGAGAGGUGCCAAAAUGAGGGACAGUACUUGGGAGGACACCAAAAUGGGGGAAAGUUUGUGAAAUGUUGCAAUGGGAGAAAGGAACUCAGUGGCCCAUGUAAAUCUUGGAUAUGUUUGAGAUGUGGCAUUGCCUGUCUCUGUGUCUUCACAAGGAUAAUAAGCUUCUCCAGUGUUACUGUAAGCCAGUGUGAUCCCUAUCUUCAUUAAUUUUUGCCUGGAAACUCCUGGCCCAUGACUAUUGUAAAAAGUCCUGGCAAAGUGUGCCUAGCCAA